UACGGGGGGGGCAAGCGUUGUUCGGAAUUACUGGGCGUAAAGGGCUCGUAGGCGGCCAACUAAGUCGGACGUGAAAUCCCUCGGCUUAACCGGGGAACUGCGUCCGAUACUGGAUGGCUUGAGUUUGGGAGAGGGAUGCGGAAUUCCAGGUGUAGCGGUGAAAUGCGUAGAUAUCUGGAGGAACACCGGUGGCGAAGGCGGCAUCCUGGACCAACACUGACGCUGAUGAGCGAAAGCCAGGGGAGCAAACAGG
rnacentral:rRNA from 1 species